rfam:Salmo salar isolate Sally breed double haploid chromosome ssa11, whole genome shotgun sequence.
UACAUUCACUACUGUAAGUCGCUUUGGAUAAGAGUGUCUGCUAAAUGACUAAAA